AGCGAACGCUGGCGGCAGGCUUAACACAUGCCAGUCGAGCGGGCACUUCGGUGUCAGCGGCAGACGGGUGAGUAACACGUGGGAACGUACCCUUUGGUUCGGAAUAACGCUGGGAAACUAGCGCUAAUACCGGAUACGCCCUUUUGGGGAAAGGCUUGCUGCCGAAGGAUCGGCCCGCGUCUGAUUAGCUAGUUGGUGGGGUAAUGGCCUACCAAGGCGACGAUCAGUAGCUGGUCUGAGAGGAUGAUCAGCCACACUGGGACUGAGACACGGCCCAGACUCCUACGGGAGGCAGCAGGGGGGAAUAUUGGACAAUGGGCGCAAGCCUGAGCCAGCCAGGCCGCGGGAGUGAUGAAGGCCGUAGGGUUGUAAAGCUCUUUUGUCCGGGACGAUAAUGACGGGACCGGAAGAAUAAGCCCCGGCUAACUUCGU
rnacentral:rRNA from 1 species